GUAAACCUGAGAAACCCGAAAGGUCGAAGGAAGAAAUUCAUUCGUGUUUCGCGACAGGCGCCGAAAGGUCUAGUGACGUCGAGAGAUUCGUCUCGAGAUGCGCAUUCCGUUCGGAUAGAUCCAGUUGCGAGCGCGUGCACUUUUCUUCUGGUAGGACGUCGCGAUCCGUUGAGUGUCGGUCUACGGUUCGUGGUGGAGACCGUUCGUCUGGCGUUCGUAACCCGUACGUCGACGUGACGGACCCACGUUUUCCUGGCCGACUCGCUCGACGGUAUACAUAAAGUUCUGGGUCGCUCUCUACGGAGCGUUCGGCACGUUGGCAAGCGCGCCGCGCGUAUUGGCGAUCGGACCUAGUGCCGAUCCCGAUCGCCGGCGACUGUUGGCUACGUUCGCCUCGAACGGACCUUCUUUAUAAUUGAACUGAUCUGCGACGCUAUAGCUUUGGGUACUUUCAGGACCCGUCUUGAAACACGGACCAAGGAGUCUAGCAUGUGCGCGAGUCAUUGGGAUUUAUUAUUAAACCCAAAGGCGCAAUGAAAGUGAAGAUCUUCCUUGCGGAGAUCGAGGGAAGACGAGCGGUUUAGCCGUUAAAAGCGGCCGCUUUGCAUUCCCGGGGCGUCUCAUUCUCAUUGCGAGAAGAGGCGCACCAAGAGCGUACACGCUGGGACCCGAAAGAUGGUGAACUAUGCCUGGUCAGGACGAAGUCAGGGGAAACCCUGAUGGAGGUCCGUAGCGAUUCUGACGUGCAAAUCGAUCGUCGGAACUGGGUAUAGGGGCGAAAGACUAAUCGAACCAUC
rnacentral:rRNA from 1 species